rnacentral:rRNA from 1 species
AUUGAACGCUGGCGGCAUGCCUUACACAUGCAAGUCGAACGGUAACAGGUCUUCGGAUGCUGACGAGUGGCGAACGGGUGAGUAAUACAUCGGAACGUGCCCGAUCGUGGGGGAUAACGGAGCGAAAGCUUUGCUAAUACCGCAUACGAUCUACGGAUGAAAGCAGGGGACCGCAAGGCCUUGCGCGGACGGAGCGGCCGAUGGCAGAUUAGGUAGUUGGUGGGAUAAAAGCUUACCAAGCCGACCAUCUGUAGCUGGUCUGAGAGGACGACCAGCCACACUGGGACUGAGACACGGCCCAGACUCCUACGGGAGGCAGCAGUGGGGAAUUUUGGACAAUGGGCGAAAGCCUGAUCCAGCCAUGCCGCGUGCAGGAUGAAGGCCUUCGGGUUGUAAACUGCUUUUGUACGGAACGAAAAGACUCUUUCUAAUAAAGAGGGUCCAUGACGGUACCGUAAGAAUAAGCACCGGCUAACUACGUG